AGAACCAGAGACUUUUUCAAUGGAUUUUGAUCGGCAAAAAAUGGAGACAUGGGUCUUCUUCUUCAUCGCCUCACUCUGUAUUGCUUCCCUCCUCAAAUCUCUCCAUGAUUUCUUCUUCCCAAAGCUCAAUCUCCCACCAGGACCCGCCGCCUUUCCUCUCAUCGGAAGCCUCCUCUGGCUCGGCACAUCCUUCGCCGACCUCGAACCCACCCUCCGAAAUUUACACGCCAAGUACGGCCCAAUCCUCACUCUCCGAAUCGGCUCUCGCCCGGCCAUCUUCAUCUCCGAGAACUCCCUCGCCCACCAGGCCUUGGUGCAAAACGGAGCCGUUUUCUCCGACCGUCCUGAGGCGCGUCCGGCCGGUAGAGUCAUGAAUAGUAACCAGCGAAACAUCAGUUCGUGCCCCUAUGGCCCGACCUGGCGUCUCCUCCGCCGCAACCUCAUGGCCGAGAUUCUCCACCCUUCCCGGGUGAGAAGCUACUCCCAAGCACGAAAGUGGGUGCUGGAGAUUCUGGUCUCUCGGCUUAGAAGCCACUCCGACGGAUUUGUCCCUGUCCGAGUGAUGGAUCACUUUCAAUACGCCAUGUUUUGCCUACUGGUGUUCAUGUGUUUCGGGGACAAGCUCGAGGAGAAGCAAAUUCAGGAGAUUGAGAUGAUGCAGCGAAGGUGGUUGUUGGAAUUCCGUCGAUUCAAUAGGCUAGAUUUGUUGCCGAGGAUAGGGAAGGUAUUAUUUCGAAAAACGUGGGACGAGUUGCUCAAUUUGCGCAAAGAUCAAGAAGAGAUUCUGCUGCCGCACAUAAGAGCCAGACAGCCGCUAAAGCAGGAAACGCAAAGCAAACGAGAAGAAGACAACAGCGACCCGGGUUCAUCUUCAUCCUCAAAGGACUAUGUCUUGUCGUACGUCGAUACUUUGUUGGAUCUGCAGUUGCCGGAGGAGAAGAGGAAGCUUAAUGAAGGAGAGAUAGUGACGCUGUGCUCGGAGUUUCUCACUGCCGGAACUGACACUACCUCCACUGCACUGCAGUGGAUCAUGGCGAACCUGGUGAAGUCCCCCCAUAUUCAGGCCAGGCUUUUCGAGGAGAUUAGUGGGGUUGUGGGGGAAGGAGAGGAGGAGGUGAAGGAGGAGGAUUUGCAGAAGAUGCCAUACUUGAAGGCAGUGGUCUUGGAAGGUCUGAGGCGGCAUCCUCCAGGACACUUUGUGUUGCCUCAUUCAGUGACCGAAGAUGUAAGCUUUGAAGGGUAUGACAUACCCAAGAACACAACUGUGAAUUUCAUAGUAUCAGAGCUGAAUUGGAAUCCAAAGAUUUGGGAAAACCCAAUGGAGUUCAAGCCAGAGAGGUUCUUGGACAACAAUGGAGAUGGAGAUCAUGGAGAUGAAGGGGAAGCAUUUGAUAUAACUGGGAGCAGAGAGAUAAAGAUGAUGUCAUUUGGUGCAGGGAGGAGGAUAUGUCCCGGGUAUGGGUUGGCAAUGUUGCAUUUGGAGUAUUUUGUGGCGAAUUUGGUGUGGAAUUUUGACUGGAAGGCAGUGGAGGGAGAUGAAGUUGAUCUAUCGGAGAAGCUGGAGUUCACAGUAGUGAUGAAGAAUCCAUUGCAGGCUCACUUAUCUCCGAGGUUGAAAUAAGGUAAAUAAAUAAUAAAUAAAGAAGUAGAUGGCUUUAGAAGGCCCCCACUGCACCACUACCACUUCACUAUCACCACAAUUCAUAGUGUGUUUGGCUAAGUUGGCAAUCCUAGAUAAAAUGUCCCUAACUCAGUUUUUCAAUUCCUUUUCGGAUUACUUACCUUUGAAAAUUAAGACUUUAAUAAGAGGUCAAGGUUUGUAACUGAGUGUGUGUUGAAUAAAGCAAAUUAAGCCUAUUUUUCAUCUUUAAAAGAGUUAAGAAAGUUGAAAGAAAUGUUUUUUAUUAAAAAGUUUUUAUUCCCCUAUUUCGAGAUUAAUCCAAGUGUAAAGGUAAAUCGAUCUAACUAGCUUAUUUUUAAGAUCAAAUUUCAGUCAUUAGAUUAAGGGUUUCUUUUACUUUUUAAAUACAAACUUCUCCCAUUUCUGGUAAAGAAAUACAACAGUAAUCAUAAAAAAGAGCUUCUCAUUCUUUACCAUUUUGAGAGUGUUUGCCUAUUAAGAAAAUCUCAUCCAAGUUUUCCAAGAAAAUUUUUUAAAUAGAUUUUUUGAAAAAGAAAAUGGGUUGAUUUCUAAAACAUUCAUCUCGCAUUCUCUUGGCUUUGUGUAAAAACUCAUUUUCAUCUUGUAUGGAUUCAAGAAAAGGUCGAGAUCGAGUUUGGCGUGGACUCCAAGUGUGCUCCGAAAAAGUAAUGUAAGAAGCUAAAUGUGAAAGGUAUUAGUCAAGUGGUCUGGGAAGAAUUGGUUAGCUUUAAUUAGGUAAAACCUUGUAUUCAAUUUUUAUUCUUCAUAGUGGAUGUUUUCGUUUAAUUGUAGGCCCGUGGUUUUUUAUCUAUUUAAAGGUUUUCCACAUUACAA